UACGUAGGCAGCGAGCGUUGUUCGGAAUUACUGGGCGUAAAGAGUGUGUAGGCGGUGCUCUAAGUUCGGUGUGAAAUCUCCCGGCUCAACUGGGAGGGUGCGCCGGAAACUGGAGUGCUCGAGCGUGGGAGAGGAAAGCGGAAUUCCUGGUGUAGCGGUGAAAUGCGUAGAUAUCAGGAGGAACACCUGUGGCGAAAGCGGCUCACUGGACCAUAACUGACGCUGAUGCACGAAAGCUAGGGGAGCAAACAGG
rnacentral:rRNA from 1 species